rnacentral:rRNA from 1 species
CCCUUAGAUGUUCUGGGCCGCACGCGUGCUACACUGAACGGUUCAAUGGGUAAGGUAGUGCGAAAGCAUGACCUAAUCUCGAAAUCCGUUCGUGCUGGGGAUAGAAGCUUGCAAUUAUCCUUCUUGAACGAGGAAUACCUUGUAAGCGUGAGUCAUCAUCUCACGCUGAAUACGUCCCUGCCCUUUGUACACACCGCCCGUCGCUCCUACCGAUUGAGUGUUCCGGUGAGGCUUUGGGAGAAUGGCCUCAACAUGAGUUUAUCGUGUUUUGCCGUUUGAACUUAGUCAAACCUUAUCACUUAGAGGAAGGAGAAGUCGGAACA